rnacentral:rRNA from 1 species
UACAGAGGUGCCAAGCGUUAGGCGGAAUCACUGGGCUUAAAGCGCGUGUAGGUGGGUCGUUAAGUGUCCGCGUGAAAUCCCACGGCUCAACCGUGGAACUGCCGGGCAUACUGGCGAUCUUGAGGCAUUCAGGGGCGAGCGGAACAAGUGGUGGAGCGGUGAAAUGCGUAGAUAUCACUUGGAACGCCAAUGGUGAAGGCGGCUCACUGGACCGGAACUGACGCUGAGGCGCGAAAGCGUGGGGAGCAAACAGG